rnacentral:SRP_RNA from 1 species
GCUGGGCGCAAUGGCACGUGCCUGUAAUCCCAGCUAUUCAGAAGGCUGAGGCUGGAGUAUAGCUUGAGUCCAGGAGUUCUGAGCUGCAGUGGGCUGUGCCAAUCGGGUGUCCACACUAAGUUCGGCAUCAAUAUGGUGACCUGGAAGCAGGGGACUACCAGGUUGCCUGAGAAGAGGUGAACCAGCCCAGGUCAGAAACGGAGCUGGUCAAAACUCCUGUGCUAAUCAGUAGUGAGAUUGCACCUGUGAAUAGCUGCUGCCCUCCAGUUUGGGCAACAUAACAAGAUCUUGUCUCU